rnacentral:rRNA from 1 species
AAACUUUCAACAAUGGAUCUCUUGGCUCCGGCAUCGAUGAAGAACGCAGCGAAAUGCGAUAAGUAAUGUGAAUUGCAGAAUUCAGUGAAUCAUCGAAUCUUUGAACGCACAUUGCGCUCCCUGGCAUUCCGGGGAGCACGCCUGUCCGAGCGCCGUUA